GAUGAAGAACGUAGCGAAAUGCGAUAAGUAAUGUGAAUUGCAGAAUUCAGUGAAUCAUCGAAUCUUUGAACGCACAUUGCGCCCGCCAGUAUUCUGGCGGGCAUGCCUGUUCGAGCGUCAUUUCAACCAUCAAGCCCCCGGGCUUGUGUUGGGGACCUGCGGCUGCCGCAGGCCCUGAAAAGCAGUGGCGGGCUCGCUGUCACACCGAGCGUAGUAGCAUACAUCUCGCUCUGGGCGUGCUGCGGGUUCCGGCCGUUAAACCACCUUUUAACCCAAGUUUGACCUCGGAUCAGGUAGGAAGACCCGCUGAACUUAAGCAUAUCAAUAAGCGGAGGA
rnacentral:misc_RNA from 1 species